rnacentral:sRNA from 1 species
GUGGUCAUUUCGAUUCGGUGUUGACGA